GCAACCCUCUGCACACCACAGUUUGCUCCAGUCUCCAAAGCAAGCCCUGCUCCGAGUUCCCCCAUCUCCCCCAGCAGAGGAGAAGCCAGACCUCUCUCCACUUCAGGGAGCGGAUGCUUUUGGGGAGCUGGCAUAAAGGGAAUAAGGAGGGCAGGAGUUGUCACAAAGUCAAAAUGAAACUGCUCACAACACGGCUCUGUCUCCCAAGAGUGACUCAGCCGGUGAAAACCAGAAUAUUGUUCUGAGCGUCGGAAUCUGCAGAGCAGCCUCCAGGAUUUGGGUCUUAUCCAGCUUAAAUGAGCCAAAACAUUCCAGCAUCUUCCUGGGGUUCCUGAUGAAGGGCGUAUUGUCUUUUCGCUUUGGCCUUUGUUUUCGAAAGCUCUGAAGAGGCGCCCAGGAGGUCAGCAGACGGCAGCGGCUUCCUUCCCCAGGACAGCGUUCAGGCAGCCUCAAGAUGCCUCCCAGUGCUCGCCUUCUGCAAUCACCAAACCUGCGCUGCGGGCACGCUGGCUGCCACUGAGAGGCUCGGAGAACACCAGGACCCCAGCAGGAGGAAGAAAAACGCUGCUCAGGAGAAUCCUCCCUGCACCUCGCGCUGGAGGGCCAGGCACGGCAGAGUUACUCAUCAUCAGGAGCGAGUUAACUUCGAACAGGGGAGAAAUGCUUUCAGAGUAAUCAUAUUAGCCCUGGAUUCCGGAAUGCCUCUUCCAUUCUUAUAAAAGAAUUCCAUGCAGCCUUGUGCCCUCCGUAGAGCAAGGGGAGACUGACUGGUUUGCAGGUGGAGGAAAGGGACAGACACUUUUAGCUCCUGGUUUGAUUCGUGAGAAAAUUCGCCAGGUGAUCCUGGAGUGGGACCGUUUGUCUUGCGGAGUUUGCCAGGGCUCCGCGGUGCCCCUGGGUACAUGCUGGGUGCAUACGUGAGUCCAAAGUGGGCCGUCUACAAACCAGGACAAUUGGACCUGGGUCAGCCUUCAGCCCUGAUGGGGACUGGGAGAAUAGGGAGGGGAAGGACACCAGCCAACUCUUAUCUAGUUCUUCCCCUGAGCUGGACGAGGUCCCGGGCACUUCGCAUGUACUGACAUUUAACUUGAAUAAUGACCCAACAACGGAAAUACUAAUAUGAUCUCCAUUUUACAGACAGGGGCAGCGAGGCACAGAGAGGUCAAGUAACUUGCCCAAGGUCACAUAGCUAGAAAACUGCCCGUCUGGGGCGCCCCAGCUCCAUGGCAGUGAAACGAAUGCAGUCGUGAUAGUCAUGAUGACAUCACUCCCUAUCCUUGUCUGAUGAGUCCGCGUGGGGGAUCUUGGAAGGCUCCUUACAGGAAGUGGAGACAGACUCCAAGCACUCUGUUGAAAUAUUUCACCUGGGACAUCAUUGCAUUUCACGGACACUGAAGCCUCCUUCCAGGAGCAGCUGCACGGCUGCUUGGAUUCUAAAACGCAGCUCUUUCCGGAAGGAAGAGACUUUACUCUUAAGGGAGGGGUUCUUCCUACCUGGAAGCAGGACAACCACCAGCAGCUCUAAGUCUUCAUUCUACCGUGCCAGCCCCUCGAAGAAAGAGAGCUCCUCUCAUACCCCUGGUCCCGUGCUGAAUUCCAGGUAAAGCUCUCAGUGGCCUGGCCAAGGUCAUGAACCACUCUGAUGGGCCACGCUUAGGCCCCUUACCCAUCCUUGAGUUGGUGAGGAGGGGAGGAUGGAGAGCAAUAAAGGAAUAGAAAAAGAAAGGAAAAAGGAGCCCUGGGAUUCCCCCCUACUGCCUCUUCAGUGAGUACCUUUGUGCAGUGCACAACAUAUACACUGUGCAUGGACUGUGCUGACUCCUCAGGCAGCACCUGUGACUCCUGGGUUAUAGGGGGAUUUGGGGGGACACAAGCAUAAGGCAGGCCAGGAAGAUCCCCCUCCCUACUCAGGCCUGUGCCCCGCCCCCUCAUAUGGCUACGGUCCAGUGAUGUGCAUCACGACCACUCUCUCUGGCUGGGCCUGAAGGUUUCUACUUUGCCCCAGUCUCUAUCCGGUUCAUGCUACCCACUCACCUACUGGGUCCCCAGGGCUUUGGAAUUCACCCCACCCUGUGCUGACUCUGGCUGAGCAACCAACUUGCUGUGUGACCUUGGUCCAGCCGCUGCCCCUUUCUGAACCCAGUUCUCCAGUUCUUGAAACAGGGAGUAGAGGCUCCUCUCCUCUUCAAUGGCCCUCCAGGCUCCUGUGUUCUGACAGGCGUGGGAAGAUAGAGAGGGCGAUAAAGAGAAAAUAGUUCCCCUUCAUUGCCUCAUCAAGCGCUCCUUGUUGGAAAGCCAGAAUUGGAGGCCUCCUCUUUCAUCGCCUGCCUGCAUCCUCCCCAGCUGAAUGAGGCAGCUGAAUGCAGAGCAGGGAGGGUCUGGGGCUAGAGAAGCAUCCUCAGGAGGGGGCAAGAUUUCGGCUAAGCCCCAGGCCCGGUGAGCUUACGUCUGUUUUGUAGCUUUACAAGUCAGGCUUCCACUGGGCUGCAUGUAACGGAACCCGGCCACACAGUGGCUUGAUUAAGAGUGGGAUUUCUGGCCAGGUGCAGUGGCUCACGCCUGUAAUCCCAGCACUUUGGGAGGCCGAGGCGGGUGGAUCACCUGAGGUCAGGAGUUUGAGACUAGCCUGACCAAUAUGAUGAAACUCCAUCUCUCCUAAAAAUACAAAAAUUAGCUGGGCAUAGUGGCAUGUGCAUGAAGUCCCAGCUACUCGGGAGGCUGAGACAGGAGAUUCACUUGAACCCAGAAGGCAGAAGAUGCAGUGAGCUGAGAUCAUGCCACUGUACUCCACUCUGGGCGAUAGAGCAAGACUCUGUCUCAACCAUAACAAAAAAGGGUGGGAUUUCUGUUCCUCCUGCCACAGGACUGCCUGUCAUGUCCCCGUGCCCAGAACCAUCCUAAGCAUGGUGCAUAUGUCAACUCAUAAUAAACCCCUAUGCUGGGGUGAAAAGCAUCCCCCCAAAAUUCGUGUCCACCAGGUACUGUGAAUGUGGCCUAUUGGAAAUAGGUCUUUGCAGGAUGUCAUCAAGUGAAGAUGAGGUCCCACUGAAUUAAGAUAGGUCUUGAUCCAAUGACUGGUUUUUCAUAAGAGGGAGGUCGGGACCCCAGUGGAAUGGCCCCCGUGGACUGUGCCUGGAAAUGGGGUGGGAGGUGACACUCAGCUCUAGAGACAGGGCUCAAACACCAGACCAAAUUGAAGACUGGCUGAAACAGGUCUGGAUGGAAGCAGGUUUCCAUAAGCCAUGCCUACCACUGCACCAGGUCAGUUUGCCACGGCCAUGGCAACCACCCAACAACCCGGAAGUAACCACCCUCAUGCAAGACAUGUCUGCAUAAACCGCCCCUUAAUUUACAUGUACUUAAAAGCAGGUCUAGAUCUGAGUGGGGCAGUGUUCCAUGUCCAUCACCACGGGCUCGCCCUGGAAUUCUUUCUGGAUGAAGCCAAGAACCCUCCUGGGCUCAGCCCCGGUUGUGGGGCUCAUCUGCUCUGCACCAUCAGGAAGCCCCAGCAUGGGAGAGCACAGGACACUCGCCCUCAUCCAUGAAUGCCCCAUGCUCAAAGGAUGAGGGUGAGAUGAGCUCCUGCAGGGCCAGAGCUCUGCUCAGAAGCCCCCGCCCCAGCCUGCUCCCUCCGCUUCCAGCUCUGGGAAACCAGCGUAAGGGCUGCUCCCCUGCCCACCUCACAGGCAACACUCUCUACACUUCUGUGUGCCAGACAUGGUGGGGUGGUGGCAGCAGUGCCUGACCUUCAUAACCACAAUGUGAGCCUGCAGUGCUGUGGCGUUCAGGACACACCAGUGCCAUGAGGCCCUCACAAUCCCCAGCGGAGGAGCCGUGUCCCUCUUCCCAAACUGAACAGCAAGAAAUGAGGGGGCUGGAAUGGGGGCUGUGCACCCAACAGAUGCCACCCAGAGAGAACACCUUUCCCCUCUCUUCCUGCUCCCAGUGAGGGGAUCCUCUCAUGCACCCCUGGGGCUCACAUCCCACUCUGGGGAUCCCUGCUCUGUUUUUUGUUUGAAAAGCAAAAGCCAGGAAGUGAAGAGAUUUGAGACAUACCUCUUCCCUGAGACAAUGGCAUAGAACCAACUAGAGCUGGAGUAGGGGCCUAUGUGAUGGGUAAAGAGGGGAGGGAAAAAUAGUGCCGUUAACAUCUCAAUCACUGCAUCUCACGACUGAGGAACCACAGGCGCACAGGCGCUGGGUGGAAGCCUCUGCAGCCACGGAAUCAGGUUUGUGAGAAAAGGGCGAAGGCUUGUAUUCCCUUAGGCAUUCUAAGGUUAAAGGAAGAAAUCAAAUACAAAUGUAUACGUAGUAUCAACAUACAGCCAAGCUAAAAAGAAAACCAGCGAUUGUACACAGAAGUCUAGACAAAGUAAUACCCAGAGGCUAACAUGGAUUGUCCGCAGAGGGUGAACGUCUGGGAACAUUUUUGACAUCUCUGCUCUUUCAUUUUCUCUCUUUUCUGUUUAAGUGGAAUGAGUAGUCCUUUUACCCAGAGGGGGAGGUAGUGUUCUAGCCUGGGAGGUCCUGACGCUCUUCCAUAAGGCCCCAAGGUGGAAACCUGCUUCACAGCAGUCCGCCAGCCUCUGCUGACUGUGCCUUCCCCAUUUCCAGAGGUGCGCAGCUCGCGUCCUGGCUGGACUGCCCACGCUGUUUCCUUCCUGCAGGUGCAAGGCCAAGGCCGGUGCAAAGGGGCCGGGUUUCAGUGUCACUCUGGUUCCCAUGUGUAAAGCGCCUCGUCCAGGUUACAAAGUCAGCACAAAGCAGCUGCCCCUGUCCUAUCUCAGGGCUCCUCAGACUUCUGGCAUCUGGGCACUCCCACACCUUUGCCAUGCGGACGCCUUUCUGCUACCCCAAGUCACUUAACUUUGUCUAAGCUGGCUCAAUUAGUUUUACUUCAAUAAAUUUACUAUUAAAGGAAAUUUAUUGCCUCUAUGUCCACCAAAAGGUAUCCGCAAGAAUAUUUCUAGAAAUUUUGUUUGUAAUUGCCAUUACAGGAAACCACUCCCAAAUCCAUCCAAAGACAGUUCAGUGAGCUGUUGUCCAUUCACACCAUGGGAGAUCACAUGGCCACAGUAAAGAACACGUCACAGACACACACAACAUGGAUGAGUCUCAUGGACGCUGCAGGGAGCCACAGACAGCGACAGAGGACGGGCACACGCUGCGUGGUUCUGUAUAUGAAAUUCCAGAGUGAAAUCCCGCUAUAGGGAGAGAAGUGGAAAUAGCAGGGACCCCAGCAGGUGUGGGUGCUACUGACUGGGAGGCCGGGCGGGACACGCCUUCUGGGGGAGACUUCUUGGGGCUGGAGAUGUGCUUUCUCCUGAUCUGAGUAGCAGUUUCCUGGGCACAUACACGCAAAGCGCAUCAAGCUGUGCAUUUCAAAUCAGUUCCCUUUACACUCUGAGAGUUCCCUUAACAUCUGUCUAUCUGUCUAUUUAUCUAUCAUCCAGAGUACAUAGAUAAAUAGAUAGACAGAUAGACAGAUGUUUCAACAGAAAUAAGUUAAGAAAUAGGCCAGGCACUGUGGCUCAUGCAUAAUCCCAGCACUUUGGGAAACUGAGGAGGGUGAAUCACAAGGUCAGGAGUUCGAGACCAGCCUGGCCACAUGGUAAAACCCUGGCUCUACUAAAAAUACAAAAAUUAGCCAGGUGUGGUGAUGGGCACCUAUAGCCCCAGCUACUCAGGAAGCUGAGGCAGGAGAAUCGCUUGAACCCGGAGGUGGAGGUUGCAGUGAACUGAGAUUGCGCCACUGUGCUCCAGCCUGGGCAACAGAGCCAGACUCUGUCUCAAAAAAAAAAAAAAAGUUGAGUUAAGAAAUAGAGGA